GUGCUUCUAAAGAGUCCCAGGCACUAGGACGAAACAGCUGUCCAGCAC
rnacentral:hammerhead_ribozyme from 1 species